GGCUAGCUCAAUCGGUAGAGCGUGAGACUCUUAAUCUCAAGGUUGUGGGUUCGACCCGUAAGCGCCACCAUCAUCU